UGGGGAAUAUUGCACAAUGGGCGCAAGCCUGAUGCAGCCAUGCCGCGUGUAUGAAGAAGGCCUUCGGGUUGUAAAGUACUUUCAGCGAGGAGGAAGGCGUUGUGGUUAAUAACCGCAGCGAUUGACGUUACUCGCAGAAGAAGCACCGGCUAACUCCAUGCCAGCAGCCGCGGUAAUACGGAGGGUGCAAGCGUUAAUCGGAAUUACUGGGCGUAAAGCGCACGCAGGCGGUCUGUCAAGUCGGAUGUGAAAUCCCCGGGCUCAACCUGGGAACUGCAUCCGAAACUGGCAGGCUAGAGUCUUGUAGAGGGGGGUAGAAUUCCAGGUGUAGCGGUGAAAUGCGUAGAGAUCUGGAGGAAUACCGGUGGCGAAGGCGGCCCCCUGGACAAAGACUGACGCUCAGGUGCGAAAGCGUGGGGAGCAAACA
rnacentral:rRNA from 1 species